GAACGCACAUUGCGCCCCUUGGUAUUCCAUGGGGCAUGCCUGUUCGAGCGUCAUUUGUACCCUCAAGCUCUGCUUGGUGUUGGGUGUUUGUCCCGCUUUUCGCGUGGACUCGCCUUAAAACAAUUGGCAGCCGGCAUAUUGGCCUGGAGCGCAGCACAAUUUGCGCCUCUUGUCAUGAUUGUUGGCAUCCAUCAAGACCAUUUUUUGCUCUUGACCUCGGAUCAGGUAGGGAUACCCGCUGAACUUAAG
rnacentral:misc_RNA from 1 species